rnacentral:rRNA from 1 species
UACGGGGGGUGCGAGCGUUGUCCGGAAUCACUGGGCGUAAAGGGCGCGUAGGUGGUCUGAUAAGGGUGUGGUGAAAGCCCGGGGCUCAACCCCGGGUCGGCCGUGCCGACUGUUAGACUAGAGUGCUGUAGGGGCAGGCGGAAUUCCUGGUGGAGCGGUGAAAUGCGCAGAUAUCAGGAGGAACACCCGUAGCGAAGGCGGCACUCUGGGCCGAUACUGACACUGAGGAGCGAAAGCGUGGGGAGCGAACAGG